GGUCACAGCAGGAAUUUGCCCUCAUUUAUCCAGAUGUCAGGUCUUGUCUUCUGCUGUGUGCAAGGAAGCAGCAAAGACCAAAUAAAACUGAGCACAGCAGCGUGCAGAGAAAAACCUCAGCUACCCCAGCUGUGGGUAGACUUGAGAAGAUUUAAAUGAGGUCUGUAUUUGGGAUGAGUCCAGGAUGACAAGUUUUGGCUCCUCCAGUUCGGUGCAGCAGGAAGAGACUCCCAGUGAUGAGGAGCUUCAGGAGCCAGAUUCUCAUACCAGCCAUAGUGAACCAAACGGGAAGUUUACACCAUGAGGCAGAUGUGAACCUGGCACUGAGACGAGAGCCAGACAGACCGUCACACUGGGUAAUGGCACAAUAUAUCCGAGUUGGAAUCAGGCUCCAGGCACUGCAGAGAGGACCAGAGGCUCUCAUGUGUCCUCUCUGUAUGCGUUCAGGAUCUGCUGAUUUUGCUCUGCAUGUCUUCAGUUGGUUUCCUCACCUGUCGAGGAAAUCCUCCUCCCUUGCCCCUGUUCCCAUCCAUACGAGGCUGAGAUGUUCACCCACUGACCCGCGGUGCUGAGCUGGCUUUGCAGCCGCUGUGUGUGGGAACAGGUUUUUGAACUGCCCAGGAAUAGAGGCGAGCUUCCCUACCCACACAGGCAAAUCCAACACCAUAUGCCCAACAUUGCAUUCCUUUGGGCUGGGAGUCCUCAUUUAUGCCUUCACAAUUUUAUUGCAUGCUUUUUUUUUUUUUUUCAACUAAAGCAGCCAUUGCUUCUUCUCACAGAACCAUUAGGUAUGUGACAUUUCCACUAAAACAAUAAUGUUUUCAAAUGGUGCCAGUGAAAUGCUGGAGGUUUGGUUUAAAAUGAGAAAAGAGAGCUGUGAGCAACUAAUAGCCUAUUUCUCCAUCCCCAGAUAAUUAAACUAACCUCUCAAGAAGCUUGAAAAUGAACUUUUGAGUGUCUCUAUAAAUACUCCUCGAAAUACUUCUAAGAGAAUAUAUGUAAAUUUAUUAGUGCAAUUUAUGGUGCCUUGUUUCACGCUGAAAAUAAUAAGCUGAUGUUGUAGUCAGCUGAAAGAGCUUUUUUUCUACAUGCGUGGGAAUGUGUAAUGCAAAUAUAAAUAGUUUCUUCUUUGUGGAUUGCUCAUUUUCCUAGGGCUCAUUCUCACAGCACUAACUCUGAUCUUCCCCAUGUCCUGGUGGCUGUCUUUAUGACAUUAUGGGCUUAAGGAGUAGCCCAGACAGAAUAAUUGCUCUGUGUGUGAGCUAUGUCCAAAUGACCAAAAUAGUA